rnacentral:misc_RNA from 1 species
GCCGAAUCAUGUUUAGUCAGUGCUGCGCAUUAUAUCGCAACUUCUUUGCUCGCACCUUUCAGGGCGGCAUGGGGGCGAACGUGAAGCGGCCUUACCGUAUUGACAUUCGCAUGGAGCACGACAAGAAGCGCCGCAUUCGGCGUCGCAACAUUGGGGCUCGGCGGAUGAUGAAGUCCUAGUGGAGGACGAUGAAGCAUUGCUGCGAAGGAUGUUGUGGCGUCUGCUUGCACAUAUGUUUUUUUCUUUGUGUGUGUGUGUAUGCGCGUGUGUUCGUGGGUGCAGUGCCGAAGAUUGCUCGCUGCUCCGGCGGAAUGCCGGACGUAUUUGCUCGUUCGUGUGUUGACGUGUGUAGCAAUACAGCGGAGUAAGAGCGGAAAAAGUGAGGACACUCCUAAGUUGAAGGUUACGGCCUGUGAGCCGCGGUGUUGCACUGUGCUGUAGCUGACGUGUGUAUAAAGGAGCUCUUCUCAUCGUCGAUGCAGUGCGAGUUGUCAAGGUGGCUCCUGUGUGUAACAGACCAUUCCACGCUUACACGAACUCCGCUAGUCAUCGGCGCCAACGGACCAAGGAUGUGAUCGUUUGGGAGCGCCGAGCUCAUCCGAUCUCUCGCUUUUUCUGCCGAGCUUCUGGCUCCUUGGGUGCUGAUUCUGGUUGUACGAUGGCUCGCCUUUCCCCGGCCUGCUGACGCAGUCGAUGCGCAACAACGAGCUGUGUAGAUGACCUCUCUUCACACUUCUUCCGCUGGGACGAGCUACUUCGCACCUGUGCGCGGAGGAGUGAGCUUCGACUAGUGGCUACCCUCCAUUCCUCGAAAGGUGUGUCGACUCAUAUCCCAUCUUCAGUCUCUCGUCCACCCCCACCCCCACCCCCACCCCUCUUUAUUGUGCCGCUGGCUGUUCAG